AUUUAUUUUGAAUUAUCCCCACAUUUAUCAUGUAUUAAUGCUAAAAAGUUAUUAUGUUUAUUCAUUUUUUAAGUUCUGUGAAAUUACUUUUUAAUUGUUUUUUAUAUUAAUUUCCUAUAUCUAAACAAAAAAUAAACAUGCUAUUUAACGUUUAUGUGUAAAUUUAAUAUGUGGUAAUUAGUUAUAAUCUGUAUUUUUAAAACAUUAUAUAAGAGGUUUGUUUUUGAAAACAAUCUAUGUAGUUUCAUUAUUCUUUGCCAUUUUGCUGUAGUAAUAGUUCACAAAUAUCAAAAUGCAAGGAAUACUUAUUUCAGUUCUUUUUUCUGUAUUUUUAAGUACAGUGGUAUUUUCUCCAAGCAUUGCAGAGGAUAAUAAAGUAAUUUGUGGUGUUAAUGAAACUUAUGAAGCUUGUGGUUCUUUUUGUGUGGCACAUUGCGUAAAUCGUCAAUUCACAACCUGUAAACCAGGUUGUAACCCUGGAUGUUUCUGUAAAGAAGACUAUAUUCGUCGUACACCUGAUGGCCCUUGUAUCGAAUAUUCAGAUUGCAGAUUUUUAAAUUUAUAACUGAUGAUAUAUGAUUCAAUGUGAAUUUUUAUGAUCGUUGAAUUUUUAAAUUUGAUAAAACUCUUUUCCAAAGCUUAUCAUUCUUUAUUCUGUAAUAAAUAUUGUUUUUAAAGUUAGCUUCGUAACUAUUUAUAUUAAUGUAUUAUAAAUGUGUAAUAAAAGAUUUAUUAAAAUAAACCAUUAACAAACUA